rnacentral:lncRNA from 1 species
GGUCACCCAGCCACAGAGGUUCCCUCUGCUCUGCCAUUAUCCAGCAUAGGAAAAUGGCCUUGCCUUUUCAGGAUUCCAUAUAACUGGAAUCGUAGGAAAUGCAGCAUGGUUUCACUCACUAAGCAGGAGACGCCGGGAUUCACCCACUGUUGCAGGGAUUGCGACUCCAUUCCCCUCCCUGUGGAGCAGCAUCUUCUGUCGGGGCCCUCCUGCCCCUUUCUUAGAAGGUCCCUGUGAUGACACUGGGCCACCAAGUAAUCAGGAUGAUCAUACCUUUUGCCAGACCUGUGAUCCAGCCUGAAUUCUAUUCAGAAAGAGAAGGAAAGCCUGAGAGGAUUUCAACUGGGGACCAAAGGAGCCAGAGAAGGUUCUGGAGUGAGAGCAGGAAGAGAUGUCAAGAAGACUUAGGGUCUCGCUGAGUUGGUGAGUUGUCCACUCUGGAUUUGAACUUGAGAUCCUCCUUCCUCAGCCUCCCAGAGUGCUGGGAUCACAGACAGGCAGCAGAUGCAACCAGGGUCACAUCGCCAGAACCCUUUGGUGAGGCAAAGAUGAUUGGAAGCAUUUUCAGAUGAUCGAAGGGGAAGAGGGAC